rnacentral:rRNA from 1 species
UACGAAGGGGCUAGCGUUGCUCGGAAUCACUGGGCGUAAAGGCGCGUAGGCGGCCUGAUCAGUCGGGGGUGAAAGCCUGUGGCUCAACCACAGAAUGGCCUUCGAUACUGUCGGGCUUGAGACCGGAAGAGGUAAGUGGAACUGCGAGUGUAGAGGUGAAAUUCGUAGAUAUUCGCAAGAACACCAGUGGCGAAGGCGGCUUACU